rnacentral:rRNA from 1 species
CCUACGGGAGGCAGCAGUGGGGGAUAUUGCACAAUGGGGGAAACCCUGAUGCAGCGACGCCGCGUGUGGGAAGACGGUCCUCUGGAUUGUAAACCACUGUCCCCAGGGACGAAGAUGACGGUACCUGGGGAGGAAGCUCCGGCUAACUACGUGCCAGCAGCCGCGGUAAUACGUAGGGAGCGAGCGUUGUCCGGAAUUACUGGGUGUAAAGGGAGCGUAGGCGGAGGUGCAAGUCAGCGGUCAAAUUGCGGGGCUCAACCCCGUACUGCCGUUGAAACUGCAUCCCUUGAGUGCGCGAGAAGUAUGCGGAAUGCGUGGUGUAGCGGUGAAAUGCAUAGAUAUCACGCAGAACUCCGAUUGCGAAGGCAGCAUACCGGCGCGCAACUGACGCUCAUGCACGAAAGCGUGGGUAUCGAACAGGAUUAGAUACCCUUGUAGUC